rnacentral:lncRNA from 1 species
AGAAGCACGGCAGCGCUGCCGACAGGGAUAAUAGCACUGCUAAUCGUGUCUACAGAGGAGUCCAAACACUGAAACUGGAGUUAUGUGAGAUGGUACAUGUGCAAGAGAGGAUGGAAAAGACUUGCAGUGGAGAAGUUUCAAGUGGGGGAUUGAUGGCCUGUGAUCGUGAAGCCAAAUCACUCGCUAUACUUGCUUUGCACUACACGAUUUCCUGCUGUUGUUGGUAGGGAGAGUGAUCUAUACAGUAUUCUUAGGUCAAACUGAGAGCCAACUAUUUGAAGACCUGCACAGAUUCUUCUAAAAGAAAGAAAAUGUGGUUAUUAUUUGCGAUAUGAAUUCUGAAAAUGAAACAUUAUUCAAGGCUUAAAGAGAAGAUGAUGCCUAACAGAAAACUUUUAAAAUCAUCCCUCUGAGAAAUAUUUUUAUCAUGCAUCAUAUUUUAAGUCUUUCUCCUCCUUUGUUCUUUGCUAAUGCAGAUAGUAAAC